rnacentral:tRNA from 1 species
GAGGGUAUGGUUCAAGUGGUAGAGCACGUGCUUAGCGUGCAUGAGGUCCAGGGUUCAAUUCCCAGUACAUCUG